rnacentral:rRNA from 1 species
GACGAACGCUGGCGGCGUGCCUAAUACAUGCAAGUCGAACGCUUUUUCUUUCGCCGGAGCUUGCUCCACCGAAAGAAAAAGAGUGGCGAACGGGUGAGUAACACGUGGGUAACCUGCCCAUCAGAAGGGGAUAACACUUGGAAACAGGUGCUAAUACCGUAUAACACUAUUUUCCGCAUGGAAGAAAGUUGAAAGGCGCUUUUGCGUCACUGAUGGAUGGACCCGCGGUGCAUUAGCUAGUUGGUGAGGUAACGGCUCACCAAGGCAACGAUGCAUAGCCGACCUGAGGGGGUGAUCGGCCACACUGGGACUGAGACACGGCCCAGACUCCUACGGGAGGUAGCAGUAGGGAAUCUUCGGCAAUGGACGAAAGUCUGACCGAGCAACGCCGCGUGAGUGAAGAAGGUUUUCGGAUCGUAAAACUCUGUUGUUAGAGAAGAACAAGGAUGAGAGUAAAACGUUCAUCCCUUGACGGUAUCUAACCAGAAAGCCACGGCUAACUACGUGCCAGCCGCCGCCGUAA